UAGAUAGGCGUGGGGGAUCCUUUGGGGAUGCACACCGCCCAUAUCAUGGCUUCGUGCAUGGGCGGCAUCCGCACUGCCGGAGAUCUGGUGGCGUGGAUGC
rfam:Desulfacinum infernum DSM 9756 genome assembly, contig: EJ47DRAFT_scaffold00018.18